rnacentral:rRNA from 1 species
AUUGAACGCUAGCGGGAUGCCUUACACAUGCAAGUCGAACGGAGUGGCGAACGGGUGCGUAAUGUAUCGGAACGUGCCCCGUAGCGGGGGAUAACUACGAGAAAGCGUAGCUAAUACCGCAUACUAUUGGAGCGGCCGAUAUCGGAUUAGCUAGUGGGUGGGGUAAUGGCCCACCAAGGCGACGAUCCGUAGCUGGUUUGAGAGGACGACCAGCCACACUGGGACUGAGACACGGCCCAGACUCCUACGGGAGGCAGCAGUGGGGAAUUUUGGACAAUGGGGGAAACCCUGAUCCAGCCAUCCCGCGUGAGCGAUGAAGGCCUUCGGGUUGUAAAGCACUUUUGGCAGGAAAGCGGUACCUACAGAAUAAGCACCGGCUAACUACGUGCCAGCAGCCGCGGUAAUUC